AUUGAACGCUGGCGGCAGGCCUAACACAUGCAAGUCGAACGAGUGGCGGACGGGUGAGUAAUGUCUGGGAAACGGCCUGAUGGAGGGGGAUAACUACUGGAAACGGUAGCUAAUACCGCAUACCAUCAGAUGUGCCCAGAUGGGUUUAGCGUGUUGGUGGGGUAACGGCUCACCAAGGCGAAGAUCCCUAGCUGGUCUGAGAGGAGGAACAGCCACACUGGAACUGAGACACGGUCCAGACUCCUACGGGAGGCAGCAGUGGGGAAUAUUGGACAAUGGGCGAAAGCCUGAUGCAGCCAUGCCGCGUGUAUGAAGAAGGCCUUCGGGUUGUAAAGUACUUUAAGUGGGGAGGCGUUACCCGCAGAAGAAGCACCGGCUAACUCCGUGCCAGCAGCCGCGGUAAUAC
rnacentral:rRNA from 1 species